GUGGUUUGUCGCGUUGUUCGUGAAAUCUCACGGCUUAACUGUGAGCGUGCGGGCGAUACGGGCAGACUUGAGUACUGCAGGGGAGACUGGAAUUCCUGGUGUAGCGGUGGAAUGCGCAGAUAUCAGGAGGAACACCGGUGGCGAAGGCGGGUCUCUGGGCAGUAACUGACGCUGAGGAGCGAAAGCGUGGGGAGCGAACAGGAUUAGAUACCCUGGUAGUCCACGCCGUAAACGGUGGGUACUAGGUGUGGGUUUCCUUCCUUGGGAUCCGUGCCGUAGCUAACGCAUUAAGUACCCCGCCUGGGGAGUACGGCCGCAAGGCUAAAACUCAAAGAAAUUGACGGGGGCCCGCACAAGCGGCGGAGCAUGUGGAUUAAUUCGAUGCAACGCGAAGAACCUUACCUGGGUUUGACAUGCACAGGACGCCGGCAGAGAUGUCGGUUCCCUUGUGGCCUGUGUGCAGGUGGUGCAUGGCUGUCGUCAGCUCGUGUCGUGAGAUGUUGGGUUAAGUCCCGCAACGAGCGCAACCCUUGUCUCAUGUUGCCAGCGGGUAAUGCCGGGGACUCGUGAGAGACUGCCGGGGUCAACUCGGAGGAAGGUGGGGAUGACGUCAAGUCAUCAUGCCCCUUAUGUCCAGGGCUUCACACAUGCUACAAUGGCCGGUACAAAGGGCUGCGAUGCCGCGAGGUUAAGCGAAUCCUUUUAAAGCCGGUCUCAGUUCGGAUCGGGGUCUGCAACUCGACCCCGUGAAGUCGGAGUCGC
rnacentral:rRNA from 1 species